rnacentral:rRNA from 1 species
GGUGAAAUGCGUAGAGAUCGGGAGGAAUACCAGUGGCGAAGGCGCUUCUGGACUGACACUGACACUGAGGUGCGAAAGCGUGGGUAGCAAACAGGAUUAGAUACCCUGGUAGUCCACGCCGUAAACGAUGUCGACCAGCCGUUGGGUGCCUAGCGCACUUUGUGUCGAAGUUAACGCGAUAAGUCGACCGCCUGGGGAGUACGGCCGCAAGGUUAAAACUCAAAUGAAUUGACGGGGGCCCGCACAAGCGGUGGAGCAUGUGGUUUAAUUCGAUGCAACGCGAAGAACCUUACCUACUCUUGACAUCCUGCGAACUUGUGAGAGAUCACUUGGUGCCUUCGGGAGCGCAGAGACAGGUGCUGCAUGGCUGUCGUCAGCUCGUGUUGUGAAAUGUUGGGUUAAGUCCCGUAACGAGCGCAACCCUUGUCCUUAUUUGCCAGCGGGUAAUGCCGGGAACUCUAAGGAGACUGCCGGUGACAAACCGGAGGAAGGUGGGGACGACGUCAAGUCAUCAUGGCCCUUACGAGUAGGGCUACACACGUGCUACAAUGGCCGGUACAAAGGGUUGCGAGCUCGCGAGAGUCAGCUAAUCCCGAAAAGCCGGUCUCAGUCCGGAUCGGAGUCUGCAACUCGACUCCGUGAAGUCGGAAUCGCUAGUAAUCGUGAAUCAGAAUGUCACGGUGAAUACGUUCCCGGGCCUUGUACACACCGCCCGU